rnacentral:rRNA from 1 species
CAGCCGCCGCGGUAAUACAGAGGAUGCAAGCGUUAUCCGGAAUGAUUGGGCGUAAAGCGUCUGUAGGUGGCUUUUCAAGUCCGCCGUCAAAUCCCAGGGCUCAACCCUGGACAGGCGGUGGAAACUACCAAGCUAGAGUACGGUAGGGGCAGAGGGAAUUUCCGGUGGAGCGGUGAAAUGCGUUGAGAUCGAAAAGAACACCAACGACGAAAGCACUCUGCUGGGUCGACACUGACACUGAGAGACGAAAGCUAGGGGAGCAAAUGGGAUUAGAUACCCCAGUAGUCCCUGUCUCUUAUAC